GCGGUUGCACUCACCUAAUAAUACGCUGGUGCGCUGCCCUCCGAAGGCAGAGGUUACAGGUUCGAAUCGUGUCGGGCGCACCA
rnacentral:tRNA from 1 species